rnacentral:lncRNA from 1 species
UUCUUCCUUCAGCCACUCCCCAAGCAGACCGACGUCCCUUGAACCGACCUUCAGCCUCCCCAUUUCAUUAUCUCCCUCUCACAAUCGGUUCCUCACCAGAGCUUCCUCUCCAUUCAUCAACACAGCCCUGCCAAACACCCAUCGCCCAGAACACAUUUUCCAGCACCUAAACGAGCACCCCACUUCAUAUCGCCUCCCCACUUCCCGAUCUCCUCCAUUCGGCUCCCCAGCGGCGAUCAGGACAGCAGCCACCGCCCUCCUCUUCCUCUGUUUUUCAGACCCUCUCACGGUCCCC